CGAUAGUGGGGGAUAACCUGGGGAAACCCAGGCUAAUACCGCAUACGUCCUACGGGAGAAAGGGGGCUCCGGCUCCCGCUAUGGGAUGAGCCUAUGUCGGAUUAGCUAGUUGGUGAGGUAACGGCUCACCAAGGCCACGAUCCGUAGCUGGUCUGAGAGGAUGAUCAGCCACAUCGGGACUGAGACACGGCCCGAACUCCUACGGGAGGCAGCAGUGGGGAAUAUUGGACAAUGGGGGCAACCCUGAUCCAGCCAUGCCGCGUGUGUGAAGAAGGCCCUCGGGUUGUAAAGCACUUUCAGCGAGGAAGAACGCCUAGCGGUUAAUACCCGCUAGGAAAGACAUCACUCGCAGAAGAAGCACCGGCUAACUCCGUGCCAGCAGCCGCGGUAAUACGGAGGGUGCAAGCGUUAAUCGGAAUUACUGGGCGUAAAGCGCGCGUAGGCGGCUUGAUAAGCCGGUUGUGAAAGCCCCGGGCUCAACCUGGGAACGGCAUCCGGAACUGUCAAGCUAGAGUGCAGGAGAGGAAGGUAGAAUUCCCGGUGUAGCGGUGAAAUGCGUAGAGAUCGGGAGGAGUACCAGUGGCGAAGGCGGCCUUCUGGACUGACACUGACACUGAGGUGCGAAAGCGUGGGUAGCAAACAGGAUUAGAUACCCUGGUAGUCCACGCCGUAAACGAUGUCGACCAGCCGUUGGGUGCCUAGCGCCCUUUAUGGCGAAGUAAACGCGAUAAGUCGACCGCCUGGGGAGUACGGCCGCAAGGUUAAAACUCAAAUGAAUUGACGGGGGCCCGCACAAGCGGUGGAGCAUGUGGUUUAAUUCGAUGCAACGCGAAGAACCUUACCUACUCUUGACAUCCUGCGAAUUUGGUAGAGAUACCUUAGUGCCUUCGGGAACGCAGAGACAGGUGCUGCAUGGCUGUCGCCAGCUCGUGUUGUGAAAUGUUGAGUUAAGUCCCGUAACGAGCGCAACCCUUGUCCUUAUUUGCCAGCGCGUAAUGGCGGGAACUCUAAGGAGACUGCCGGUGACAAACCGGAGGAAGGUGGGGACGACGUCAAGUCAUCAUGGCCCUUACGAGUAGGGCUACACACGUGCUACAAUGGUCGGUACAAAGGGUUGCCAACUCGCGAGAGUGAGCCAAUCCCGAAAAGCCGAUCUCAGUCCGGAUCGGAGUCUGCAACUCGACUCCGUGAAGUCGGAAUCGCUAGUAAUCGUGGAUCAGAAUGCCACGGUGAAUACGUUCCCGGGCCUUGUACACACCGCC
rnacentral:rRNA from 1 species